AGCCUCGGGCCCCGACUCCAGCCGGCUCCCGCGGCGGCUGGCAGUACCUGCUGGCGCCCGCACCCCGAGGGCACUGAGGAAGGGAGCCGGGGAGCCACUGCCCAAAGCUGCCGCCAAACGUACCACGUGGAUGGGCGCCCGCGGUGGCCCGGCCCCAGACUACAACGCCCAGAAUGCUUGGGCCGCCGCUGUGCCGCCCCUUUACGGCUCCACCCCGCACGUGGUAUUACUGGAGUCCGAGUUGAACCAAAACUGGACUCAAGAGGCUCACGUACGAGGGAAGCUAAAGAAUAUUACACUUAUAUUCUGUGUCUCUUCUGAACUCCGGAGAUUAAAGAACAUCAUCUUUAUCGGACGAAUGCUAUUUGUAAACAGCGCCCUGGCAGCCACUGGAGACACUCGUGGCGGUACCAGUCCGAUAAGGGGCCGCGCAGUGGUAUCAACGUACCGGCAUUCACUGGAAACCUAGAAUGCGCUGAUGGGAAAGCGAACCAAUAACGAGCGUCCACACUGCUCCUGGACGCUGUUGCCCUCGUCCCGGACAGCUCUCACGGUCCUUCCCGUCCAUUCAGAGGCGACGCUAUUUUGAGUAUGGCCUUUUGUACUGCUGCCCUUAAAGCACCAGUUUGGGGGUAUAAUUACUAGGUCUAAAUCCACAGACGUUCGUUUGCUGAUCAUUUUAAGGCACUGUGGAUGAAGAUAUGAAUUCUCCCUGAAGUAACUGAGAAACAUUCAACGACUCUACAUGAUCGUCUAUUGCCUACAGCAUAAAGCUCAAACUCCUGCAUCUAAUAUUCUCCAUCCUGGAUUUACUUCAGUCUGAGAUAUGAAGUCUUUCAUAUUUAAAGAGGUCAUUUCAGCAAGGCACAUGAAGGAAUAUCAGAGCUAUUUGCAUUCACAAGGCAUGGACAUGGUAUACCCUAACCCCAGGGCAAUUUUAACUAUUCUGCUCUGCAUCACAACAUAGUCCAAAGGAUCUUGUGUAACCUGGACAUCCAGAUGAACAGUGUGCUGGUCUGCCAUGUUAAUUAGAUCUUACGAUCAAGAAGUGGUAAGUACUCUGCAUGCCUUGGUAAGAUAAAUCUCCAGGAGGUGGGAGAUAAAGCUUAUGAAGGUUCAAGGGUCUGACAUAUAUCAGUGAAUUUCUUAGGAGUUUGGUGGCCUGGUAUGUGUUGAAACAUCCCCUCCGAAGUAUAAGACAAGUUCUUGCACCACACAUCCCUACCACUAAGAAAAAAAUCAGACCGCUGGGUAUGCCUCUUGGGUUUUAGGGGCAGCAUAUUCAAUGUCCUUGGCAAUACAUUUAUCAGGUGACUUGGAAAGCUGCAGGCUUUAAAUGAGGGCCAGGGAAAAAAGGACUCUAUAGUAAUUAGAUCCUGUGGUACAAGCAGCCCUGCCACUUAAGCCAUGUGAGUCUGCAGAUCUCAUGGUACUAGAGAAAGAUGCCACAUCGUGCUUCUGGCAAGCUCCAAUAGGCAGGGUUCUGGAGUAAGGCCAUUCCACCUGCUGAAGGAAACUAUACACCAUUUGAAAAAGAGUUCCUGUCAUGAUACUCAGCCCUGGUAGAAACUGAGUAUCAAGCCAUGUGUCAUAGAAACCAGGUGAUCAUAAGUUGGGUUCUGCUGCCUUAUUGUGUCAUAAGAUCAGGCAGGUGCAACAACAGUCCACUGUGAGGGACAAUAUGCCAAAAAUUAGGCUCCAGCAGGCCCAGAGAGCAUAGGAGGGCUGAAGGAACAGGUGGCUUUGACCCUCAUGUCACCUAUCACUGUUGUACCAAUGCAUCUCCCUCAACUGCCAAGUAUGGCCACAGGGACGUUCCUCAUUACCUGUUGAAAAAGAAGAAAAAAUGGGGCUGGUGCUGUGGCUCAGCAGAUUAACGCCCUGGCCUGAAGCACCAGCAUUCCAUAAGGGUGCCCGUUCUAGUCCUGGCUGCUUCUCUUCAAUCCAACUCUCUGCUAUGGCCUGGGAUAGCAGUGGAAGAUGGCCCAAGUCCUUGGGACCCUGCACCCAUGUGGGAGACCUAGAAGAAGAUCCUGGCUCCUGGCUCCUGGCUUCAGAUCGUCGCAGCUCCAGCUGUUGCAGCCAUCUGGGGAGUGAACCAGCAGAUGGAAGACAUCUCUCUAUCUCUACUUCUCUCUGUAACUCUGACUUUCAAAUAAAUAAAAUAAAUCUUUAAAAAAAAGAAAAAGAAGAAAAAAUAAUCCAAGUUUAGUUAAUAGAUGGGUCACUUUGUUAUGGCUGUGAACUGAAAAUGUCUAUAGCUGCACUUUUGAACCCAAUCCCAGGGGUGAUGGCAGUGAUGAGAUUGGAGAAGGGACAUUUUCCCAGUAGGCAGAGCUUCAGGAAGUCCUUUAGUCAUUGAUUUUGAAGACAGAAAUGGCUAGGGUGAGGGUAUACUCAUGGGAAGUGACAAAUGCUAGCCUUCUUUGUUGGUCAGGUAUCUAGAUCAAGAAAUAUAGGAGGGCUGGCACUGUGACAUGGUAGGUUAAGCCUCCACCUGUGGGGUUGGCAUCCCAUAUGGGCGCCUGCUUGAGCCCCGGCUGAUCUGCUUCUGAUCUAGCUCCAUGCUAAUCAUCUGGGAAAGCAGCAGAAGAUGGCCCAAAUCCUUGGGCCCUUGUACCCAUGUAGGAGACCAGGAAGAAGCUCUUGGCUCCUGGCUUUGGAUCAACCCAGUUUUGGCCAUGAAGCCAUUCAUGGAGUGAAACAGCAGAUAGAAGACAUCUCUCUCUCUCUCUCUCUCCUUUCCUCUGUCUGUAACUCUCAAAUAAGUAAAUAAAUCUUUAAAAAAAAAGAAAUGUAGGAAAAGGCUGUAAAAUGGGCAGAUGGAUAGACCUCUAGGGGAAGUGCACAUAUUGGAAUGACUUUUCAUAACACAUAUUGCUCAUCAGAGAGUUUCCACAGCAGAAGAGUCAUUAACCAACCAAGUAUAUAGGAUGACUAGGCCAGCAAACAUCAGGCUGCUUAUGUCUAUGGCACCAAAGUUCUUUCACAAUGGACUUAUGGGUGGGAUAGCUGUGGUGGCAGAAAUGGAGACUAUGAAUGGGCCUAACUUUUUGGACUCUCUCCAAAGCUGAUCUAGCUACAGCUGCUAUUGAAUGUCUGACCUGUCAGCAGCAAAGACAACACUGAGCUCUCAGGGAGGUCAAACAGUCACUGGAUUGCACUGGGCCCUUUCCAAUUUGAAAAGAAUAACAUUUUAUCAUGACCUUUCUUUUGUUUGAUUUAUUUAUUUGAAAGGAGAGAGACAGACAGACAGACAGAGAGAAAUCUUAUACCUGUUAGUUCAUAUCCCAAAAGCCUACAACAGCCAAGGCUGAAGCCAGAAGCCAGGAACUCAAUCCAGGUCUUCCAUGUGGGUGGUAGAGACUGAAGUUCUUGGGCCAUUAUCUACUGCCUCUCAGGCACAUUAGCAGGAAGCUGGAUUGGGAGCUCAGGGUCUCGGUGACUGGUUUUGGUGUGUAUAUGUUCUGAGUAUUAGCUUGCCUUCCUGCCUCAUGUGCUUCAGCCAUCACCAACAUGCAACGACUCAGAGAACAACUAAUAUUCUGACACCACUUUCACAUAACACUGCUUCAGACCAAGGAACUCACUUUACAGCAAGAAGAUAUGGGGGUGGCACUUGUCCAGAGGACCCAUUGGUCACACUAGGUACCACACCAUUUGGAAGUUAUCAACUUGAUGGAGCGGAGCAAUGGCUUGUUGAAAGCACAGCUAAGACUCCACAUUGGAAUAAUGUGUUUGGAACAUUAUCCUUUAGGAUAGCCUUUAGGAUGCAAUAUACUCCUUAAACCAGUGGCUGUUAGAUAAGGAUGUAUGAAGUUAUAUGAGGAAAAUGAGAUUAAAAGAUGAAUUUAUUUUGGUGCACUAACAUUGAAUCCAUGCAUAGCUUUCCCAUAAUAAACAUUUUCCAUAAACUUAUUAAAGUACCUUUUUAUGGUACUGUGUCUCCAGUAGAUAGACAACAUGAAUCCACAGAUGAGGCAAAAGUGAGUGGCCCACUCAGCAUUACUCCCAGAGACCCAUUUGAAGAAUUUGUGUUUCUUGUCCCUGUAACUGGAGACUCUACUAGGAUAGAGGUUCUGCUACUCAGAGGUGGGAUCUUUCCAUCAGAGGACACAGUAAGAGCUCCCUAAACUUAACACAAGGGCUGCUCUAAGGUCACUGGGGCUCCUAAUGCAAGCAAUCAUCAGGAGGUGGACACGGCUGAUACAGAAGAGAACAGACAAGACUAUAGUGGUUACUCAGGAGAUCCACUAGGGACAUUUCUUGGUAUUUCCAAGCCUAGUCAUAAUUGCAAAUGGCCAAGUACCGAAACCACAGCCUGAUAAGAGCAUGAUAACUGGGGUCUUAAACCUCUUACAGAUGAGUUUCUGGUUCAAUCCAUCAAUCAGGCUACCUACGCCAGCAGGAGUGCUCGCUGAGGUGGUAGGGAAUAUAAAAGGGGGGGGGGUGGAUGAUGGAGACAGUGAGCAUCAGUUACGGCCUUGGAGUCAGCUAUAGAAGCAGAGAUUGUAGUUGGUUCCAUUGUCCUCUUGCAAAAAUGUAUACAAAAUUGUGACUAAUAAGAAUUCUGGGGCCCAGCACUGUGGCAUAGAUUAAACCUUUGCCUAAAGUACCAGCAUCCUUUAUGGGUACCAGUUCAGGUCCUGGCUGCUCCACUUUCUAUCCAGCUCCCCAGAAAAGCAGUGGAAGAUGGUCCAAGUGCUUGGGCCCCUGAACCCACAUGGGAGACCCAGAAGAAGUUCCUGGCUCCUGGCUUAGAUCUGGCCCAGCCUUGGCUGUUGCAGCCAUUUGGGGAGUGAACCAACGGAUAGAAGAUCUCUCUCUCUCUCUCUCUCUCUC